AUCUAAGCGAGACUAUGCGGUGUCUUGAAAGACGUGGUCUUAGCCCGGUGGCCAGCUUGGCCUGCCUGUCAUACACCUCCAGCUAAGCUCGGUCUCCAGCAGCAGUACAGGGGCAGAGGAACACACUAUUUCAUAUGGGGUUGGACAAGCAGGACCUCCCUCACGGGAUGGUGUCUUCCUCCUGGUAUCCUCCAGGAUUGCCCACUCUGUAUCAACACUCACCUGAGUGUCUCAUUUCUCUAGAGAAAGAUUAGCAGUGCACUUGCCCAUCCAAGACAAACUUAGCAGGUUGGUUUGUUUGUUUGGUUUUUACCCAAAUGAACUCAGGGAUAGUCUCAUUUGUCUAAAUAAAACUCUCUAAAGAUUGGACUUUUAGAAGAUCAAAUUUGUUUUAAUUUUAUUUAUUUAAAUCAAAUUUAAAUUUGUCAUGGUUGUAUCAUCCCAAAAGCCAUUAGCAUUAGAGAAAGAAUAGAUGAAAAAGUUAUUAGAGGAAGUCCUGACAAGAGAGAGAGAACAAGAUUUUAUCUAGUGAACAUUUAUUGAGUUCCUGUUGUAUGCUAGACACAGCCUUGAACUGUCUGUGUUGUAUAAAGGCUUCAUUCUGGAUUGUUGGUUGUCGCUGGGGACACAAUGAUCAAAGGACAUAGGUUAAGACAUGGUCAUUUAAAGUGUCAGAAGAAUCACACUGUGAGUAAUAAGGAUGUCAAAGCCCAGGCAGGGGUGUGUGUUAGUGACCAGAGGGCUUCCCUGAGUCCUCUGAGCUGAGGAAAGGACAAUACAGAUGCCAAACAAUCCUGCCUGAAUCCUCGCCAGGACUUCAGUUUUAUUCUGAACACAAUGUGAAAUUAUCAUAUGGUCUAAUGUGGAGGAGGAAAGCCUGGGGUUACCUCUUCAGAAUUCUUAAUAGAAAAAUAAGAACUACCAAAAAAAAUGUAUUGACUCCAAAAGUCCAUGGCUAUUAAAUCUGAAUGCUUUAUAUAAAGCCACGAGAGAAACAACAGAUGGGAAGGCUUCCUUCCAUACAGAGCAGCUGGGAAUACUGAUUGUCUUGGUCAGACAACUGACAAAGCUACCUGAGGGAGGCAAGGGUUGUGCUGGCUCACAGUUUGAGGGAUACAGUCUUUCGUUGAGGAAGGUCCAGCAGCCAGAAUGUGAGGCAACUGGUUAGAUAGCAUCCGUAGUCAAGAAGUUCAAAGAGGGGCUGGUGAGAUGGCUUAGUGAUUAAGAACACUAGCUGUUCUUCCAGAGGUUCUGAGUUCAAAUCCCAGCACCCACAUGGUGGCUCACAACCAUCUAUGAAGGAAUCUGAUGCCCUGUCCAUCUGCCUUUUUAUUUAUUCACAAUUCACCCCAGUGGGAUGGUGCCACCGACAUUUAAGAUGGGUCUUCUCACCUCAGUGAACCUAAUCUAGAAUCUCCUUCACACAUAUACCUUGAGAAUUAUCCCCUAGUUUUUAGAGUCCAUCUAGUUCACAGUCAAUAUUAGCCAUCACACUCAGGAAGGCCAAAGCAGGAAUGGUUUUGGCAGGCCUAGUGAGACUGGUGGGUGGAUCAGAAACAGUGGGGAAACAUGACUGGAUUAAUGAGAACUUCAGCUGGAUUGUAGUUAGAUAAGAGGUAGAUGGUUGUCUUCUUAUGGUGGCCUGUGAACUUCAGGAAAGAUCAUUUAUCUUCUUCUUCUUCUCCUCCUCCUCCUCCUCUUCCUUCAUCAUCAUCAUCAUCAUCAUUUUAUUUUUGUGCUCUCAUGCUAUGGCAAGGGUAAGGAAGUCAGAGAAUGAUGUACUGGAGUCUGUUCGAUCCUAUCACGUACACUCUUCCCAAGGUCAAACUCAGGCUGUCAGACUUGGCAGCAAGCACCUUUAUCCACUGAGCCAUCUCACUAGCCCCAGAAAAAAAAGUAGUUUUUAAGAAAUGCUCAUCACACAUUUAUAUUUCCCAGCUAUUCUUACCAUAACUAGAAAAUGAAGAAUAAACUAUAAAUAUGCUCCAAUAUCUUCCAUAACAAAAUACAUACAUAAAACAUUCUAAUCAAAUAUAGUAUGUGCCUUAAGGCUUUGUACUCCAGCCCUGUUUUCUUUCUGCUCUCUGCUUCUUACUUGUACAUUGUAAUGUGACAAAACUUUUCCUGGGGAGACACAACAUUAACAUCUAAUCACCCAAGAUCAAAGUACCAUUAAAUUCCAGCUUGGUGAACCAAUGAGCUUAUUGGGGUUACUUACAGGGAUAUGGGUGAAGGGUUACUUAUGGGAGCAGAAAUGACUCAAAGACAGCUGCAUCACCAAAGCCCACUUCAGCAUGGGUGACAGCUCACAAACCUGGGAACCUGGAGCACACUGCACAGCCUGCAGGCAGCUCAACAAGCUGGAGAGUGUCCUUUCCAGGUAUCUCGGUUGGUUUGGUUUGAGGCUCCUUUGCAGCUUGCCUUGUCUGAAAGUUUUCUUGGCAGCUCUAUUUGUCUGAGAGAGACUCUCAGCUUUUAUUGGUUACUAUAGCAGGGAGGGGCCUAGUGAAUCUGGUUGGUUUCAGGGACUUCCUGAAGCUGAGUUGAGCUGUUUCCGUUCCUGCUUAAGGAGCUUCCUGAAGAUUGGCAUGUUUUAAUCUUGGAGGAAAUGUUAACAUAACACACGUGCCCAUGUACAGCCACCCAACAAAUGCUCUUCCCACUAAGAUGGGCUGCAUCCCUCCUUAUACUAUGAAUCAAAAUAAACUGUUCUAUCCAAAGUUUCUCCUGCCAAGAUGUUGUGCAAGGGUAAAGAUGAAACAGAAAUUGAAGGGAUGGCCAACCAAUAACUGGCUCAGCUUGAGACCCAUCCCAUGAGCCAACCCCCAGUGCUAUUUAUAAUACUCUGCCAUGCUUGGGGACAGAAAGCUAGCAUAACUGUCACCUGAAAGACUUCAAUCAGUGACUCAGGGGAACAAAUGCAGAGACCUACAACCAAACAUUAGGUGGAGCUUGGGAGAUUCUAUGGAAGAAGGGUUGAAGGAGCCAGAGAGGUCAAGGACACCACAAGAAACCUACAGAAUCAACUAACCUGGGCCCAUAGAGGCUCUCAGAGACUGAACCACCAACCAGAGAGCAUUCAUGGGACAGACCUAGGCCUUCUGCACAGAUGUAACAGCUGUGCAGCUCGGUCUUCAUGUGAGACUCCUAACAGUAGGAGCAGAGGCUGUCUCUGACUCUGUCGCCUCCCUUUGGAUCCCUUCCCCCCAAGUGGGCUGUCUUGUGUAAGUCUCAAUAAAAGAUCCACCUAGUCUUACUGCACCUUGUUAUGCCAAGGCUGGUUGAUAUAUCCAUGGUUGGCACCCCUUUUCUGAGGAGAAAGGGAAGACAGGAGCAUAGGGAGGGAGGGCUCAGGGGAGGGACUGGGAGGAAAGGAGGAAGGGGAAACUACAAUCAGGAUGGAAAGUAAAUAUACAAAUUAAUUAAUUAAUAACAAACAAUAAAUACAUAAAAGUCUUCAUUCUCAAGUUGCUCCUACUGGGUACUUUGUCACAGUGAUGAUGAAACCAAGGAAGACUUCUGUUUUCCCCAUUGCCAUCUACAGCCCAGUUUCUGUCUUGUGCCACACUACUGGACUGUUCUUACUGAGCCAGCCUGCUGUGUCCUACUGGGUAGACCAUGUGUGUUACAGUUUCUCCUUAGCUAAAAUGUUCUUGGCUUCCAUAUUGCCAAAUUUAUGCAUAGUUUUUCAGUCCUCAUCUUAUUGAAAGGCCUAGAUUCACUAUCUGCUAUUCCUUCUUCCACUGUCAAAAGCUUUGUGUUUUUGUUUUGUUUGUUUGGUUUAAAAAAAAAAACACUGGAAUUAAAUCACUUGUCCAUUCCUAGAGGAUUAGUUAAUUAAUGGGGCAUUUUGGCUCACACAGCCUGGGAG
rnacentral:lncRNA from 1 species